UCAGAUCCCAUUGAAGUCAAUG
rnacentral:miRNA from 1 species